ACGAACGCUGGCGGCGUGCCUAACACAUGCAAGUCGAACGAGAAAGCCCUUCGGGGCAAGUAAAGUGGCGCAAGGGUGAGUAACACGUGAAUAAUCUGCCCUCAAAUCUGGGAUAACCCGGCGAAAGCCGAGCUAAUACCGGAUAAGACCACGUCUCAUAAGAGAUGCGGUAAAGGGAGUCUAAAGCUCCGUUUGGGGAUGAGUUCGCGGACCAUUAGCUAGUUGGCGGGAUAACAGCCCACCAAGGCUAUGAUGGUUAGCCGGUCUGAGAGGAUGAACGGCCACACUGGAACUGAGACACGGUCCAGACUCCUACGGGAGGCAGCAGUGGGGAAUUUUGCGCAAUGGGCGAAAGCCUGACGCAGCAACGCCGCGUGAGGGAUGAAGGCCUUCGGGUUGUAAACCUCUUUCGAGUGGGAAGAACAUAAUGACGGUACCGCUAGAAGAAGCCCCGGCUAACUCCGU
rnacentral:rRNA from 1 species